rnacentral:rRNA from 1 species
UGGGGAAUUUUCCGCAAUGGGCGAAAGCCUGACGGAGCAACGCCGCGUGAGGGAAGAAUGUUUGUGGACUGUAAACCUCUUUUAAUAGGGAAGAAGCCCUGACGGUACCUAUUGAAUCAGCAUCGGCUAACUCCGUGCCAGCAGCCGCGGUAAUACGGAGGAUGCAAGCGUUAUCCGGAAUUAUUGGGCGUAAAGGGUCCGCAGGUGGUUAAUCAAGUCAGCUGUAAAAUGUUCGAGCUUAACUCGGGAUGUGCGGAUGAAACUGAUUGACUAGAGUACGGAAGGGGUAGAGGGAAUUCCUAGUGUAGCGGUGAAAUGCGUAGAUAUUAGGAAGAACACCAGUGGCGAAGGCGCUCUACUGGUCCUGUACUGACACUGAGGGACGAAAGCUAGGGGAGCGAAAGGGAUUAGAUACCCCCGUAGUCC